UACGUAGGUGGCAAGCGUUGUCCGGAUUUACUGGGCGUAAAGAGCGCGCGGGCGGUCGUUCAAGUCGCGUGUGAAAGCCCCCGGCUCAACUGGGGAGGGUCACGCGAUACUGAUCGACUCGAAGGCAGGAGAGGGUAGUGGAAUUCCCGGUGUAGUGGUGAAAUGCGUAGAUAUCGGGAGGAACACCAGUGGCGAAGGCGACUACCUGGCCUGUUUCUUGACGCUGAGGCGCGAAAGCUAGGGGAGCAAACGGG
rnacentral:rRNA from 1 species